rnacentral:rRNA from 1 species
CUGGGUUGGAUGAGUGGCGAACGGGUGAGUAACACGUGAGUAACCUGCCCUCUUCUUUGGGAUAACGGUCGGAAACGGCUGCUAAUACCGGGUAUUCACUGUCCUUCGCAUGGGGGGUGGUGGAAAGGUUUUUCUGGUGGGGGAUGGGCUCGCGGCCUAUCAGCUUGUUGGUGGGGUGAUGGCUUACCAAGGCUUUGACGGGUAACCGGCCUGAGAGGGUGACCGGUCACAUUGGGACUGAGAUACGGCCCAG